AGUGGCACUGAAACUUGAGUAGUUGAUGUUCUCUGCCUACCCUUUAUGGGAUACAGGCGUGAUUGUAUGUAUGUACUUAUGCAUUUUUUUAAACAGAAACUCAGAAUAAUGCCAGAAAGCGCCGUGGUGAAAUACUCAAACCCGACAUACAUAAGCGGCCUGCGGUUGAAAUUCUGCGCGUCGCCGGCGCAACGAUCCGUAUCUCACUAACGUCACUUUGACUCUUCACACCACUUUUGGAAAUAAUGUUACGCUAAGGUUCUCCUACUUGCUGCCAAGUGGCAACACCAUAGAUUACAGCGUAAUUUCUUGCCAUGUUUUUAAAUUACCCUGGCUGCUGGAAUUUGCGAAGACGCAUUCCAAUUUGACUGGAUGUCCUGUGAGCCCUGGUACAUACCGCUACUUCAACGUGGAAAUACCGCCCAAAAAUUUCCCCCUACCGAUCCCACCUGGUAUCAAGAAGGGGGAUAAAGGCAAUGUUAUUAUUCAAGUCCUGAGAUACGGAACGGAAAUCAUUCUGGACCUCUUCACCACCAUUCGCGCGUAUUGAUAGUUCAAAAAUGUAUUAAAAAA